rnacentral:misc_RNA from 1 species
GAUGAAGAACGCAGCGAAACGCGAUAUGUAAUGUGAAUUGCAGAAUUCAGUGAAUCAUCGAAUCUUUGAACGCACAUGGCGCCUUCCAGUAUCCUGGGAGGCAUGCCUGUCCGAGCGUCGUUUCAACCCUCGAGCCCCCGUGGCCCGGCGUUGGGGAUCUGCCCAGGCAGUCCCCGAAAACCAGUGGCGGACCCGUUACAGGCCCUUCCCUUGCGUAGUAGCAUUCGCCUCGCAUCGGGAGCCGGCGGGCUUCCAGCCUCUAAACCCCCAUCAAGUCCGCCCCGGCGGCACCAAGUUUGACCUCGGAUCAGGUAGGAAUACCCGCUGAACUUAAGCAUAUCAAUAAGCGGAGGA